rnacentral:rRNA from 1 species
AUUGAACGCUGGCGGCAGGCCUAACACAUGCAAGUCGAACGAGUGGCGGACGGGUGAGUAAUGUCUGGGAAACUGCCCGAUGGAGGGGGAUAACUACUGGAAACGGUAGCUAAUACCGCAUACCAUCGGAUGUGCCCAGAUGGGGUUAGCUAGGAGGUGGGGUAACGGCUCACCUAGGCGACGAUCCCUAGCUGUUCUGAGAGGAUGACCAGCCACACUGGAACUGAGACACGGUCCAGACUCCUACGUGAGGCAGCCUGGGGAAAUAUUGCACAAUGGGCGCAAGCCUGAUGCAGCCAUGCCGUGUGUAUGAAGAAGGCCUUCGGGUUGGAAAGUCCUUGCAGCGGGGAGGCGUUACCCGCAGAAGAAGCACCGGCUAACUCCGUGCCAGCAGCCGCGGUAAUUC